rnacentral:lncRNA from 10 species
UGGGGUCUUGCUAUAUUGCACAAGAUGGUCUCCAACUCCUGGAUUCAAGCAAUCUUCCUGCCUCAGCUUCCUAAGCAGCUGGGACUACAAGUACACGUCACCACUCCUGGCUCAGACAUUUUCUUUUGACUAUCUUCAAGUCACCCCAUCUCUUUGAAGAGUACUUUUUGAAAAUUUCGUACUUUGUUUUUUUAGAGUGACAGUCUUUUUAUUAUGUGGAGAGAAUUGCUUUGCAAAGGAGUCCAGGUCCCACCGGAAGGACCCCCUUCCAUACACCGUAGCAAUUCCGUAGCAGCCUCGACUCUCCCCUCGACGGACAGCAGAUGGCGCUGCGCUUCCCAUUUUGCCGCCUCGGUGGCGGGACAGGAAUCCAACUUUGGCAGAGCUGAGUUGAAGAUUGCAAGCGACCUAUUCCGAGCUGGAAUGCAGUGAAGGUGACCUUCUGGAUUUCUGAGCCUGGGCCUGGCAACUUCUGCUUCACUUCUUGGGAGCCAGCUGCUAUGUAAAGAAGACUGAGCAAGACAGCUGAAAGAUAUGUAGAGAGAGAAGCCAAGACAGUGCCCAGCUAUCCCAGUCACACCCACAGACUCACCACAUGUAUGAGUGAAGCCAUCUUGGACUUUCCAGCUGAGCUCCCAGCUAAAGGCAGCUGCAAGGGUGAUCCCAGCUGAUGCCAUGUGAAACAGAAGAACCAUCCACCUGAGCCCAGCCAAGUAUCUGAAGCUACAUAUGCCAGAGUCCCCCUGCUUGGGAUGGAGGAGAGCUGUUUUACUCCCAACACAGUCCAGACAAGGCUAACCAUGCACCGUGAAAGUAAGAGACCAAAAACAGAUGACAGAAAACGAGAAUAAUGAUGGUUGAAGAAAAGGAAAGAACUUAAUUAAAGAAGGCAACACAGUCUUAAAGCUAAAAAAUUUAAAAAUAAAAUAAGGU